rnacentral:tRNA from 1 species
UCCCUGAUAGCUCAGUUGGUAAAGAAUCUGCCUGCAAUGCAGGAGAUCCUGGUUUGAUCCCUGGGUUGGGAA